GUCUCUCCUCAUAGGGCCUUGCCUGCAGGUCUCUUACCACACAAGUGGCCUCCUCUGAACCCUCUCAAGAUUCUCCGCAUCCCUCUUGAAGUGCGGCGCCCAAAAGUGGAUGUAGUACUCCAACUGCAGCCUGACUAGUGCCACAUAGAGGGUUGGCGGAUCUCCUCCAGCAGCCUUUAAACUAGGCUCGUUGGGGGAAGGGGAAGACGUGGGUGGAGGAAGCCUCAGACAAGCAAGCCAAGCAUCACCUGCAGGAGCAGCCCAGCCUAAACCGAUGACAAGAGAAGCAGGUAAUCAGAGCUUCCAACAGGAAAAGGUAGCGUGCCCAGCACAUAGGUGACUGCUUCGAGGGACGAGGAAGAGGGCAGAAGAAGAGCUGGAAGUGCUAGCCAGUGGGGUGGAGCAAUAGCCCGAGAAGAGCCCGAAGACAGAUUAUUGGAUGGGAGCGGCAAGCAGCCGUGUUCCUGAGCCCUGCCGUGAGGAGGUGUGGUGUCUAUGCUCAGCCAAUGAAUGGAGGGUCUAGAAGGGACUGAGACCCUGGGAGCUGCAUGAGGCAGCUAGGGUCUCCAACCUCCUGCAUGAGGCAGGGUGAGUGGUGCAUAGCCAGUGCACAGAGGGUCCAGGAGUGGACCAAGGCCCCAGAACUGCAUGUAGUGGCUUGAGUCCCCAACCCCAGCAUGAGAUAAGGCAUGAAGUGCACAGCUGGUGCACAGAGGGUCUGGGAGUGGACCGAGACCCCAGAGCUGCAUAAGGCGGCUCAGGUCUCCAACCCCUGGCACAAGGCAGGGCCAACAGUGCAUGGCGUGGUUCACAGGGACCUGAGAGGGCCAGAGGUUGGGAGAGCCCCAAAGCAGCUGAGAGCCCCCUGCCGAAGGAAGAGACACCUCACCUUGGAAGAUGAAGACAGCCUCACUGGGCCCUCGGAGGAGUCGUGAUUCCUGAGAAGAGGAUUCCCACGGGGGAGGAGGGUCUACCCCCGCCAUAAUGAGCAGUUGGAGUAUUUAGUUGGUUAAAGGAUCAGUUGGACUAUCUGGGGGCUCCCCACACCCCCCCUUCUCAUCUAGUACCACUCCUCCUAGAGCAUUGCUAUUGUUUUAAUACAGCUUUUUUUUUCUUCUUUAUUGCCCCCUGGGUCCUGCACCUCAUAUUUUGUGAAUCCUGUGCCUCACGCUUUGUAAAUUGGCGUUCUAUUAGAAUAUAAGAUUUGCAUGACUUCUAAUGAGACUCUUGCUUUGAUCCCCUUUUUGAUUCCUCAUCUGUAUAUAGUAUUUGCAUUGAUCUGUAUAUACGCUGUUUUACCUCCUAUAUCUUAUGUGUAAAUAUGUUAACCCUAUAACUUCUAUAUCUUAUUAAACUUGUACAUAGUUAAGCCUAA